rnacentral:rRNA from 1 species
CUACGGGGGGCUGCAGUGAGGAAUUUUGCGCAAUGGGGGAAACCCUGACGCAGCAACGCCGCGUGAGCGAAGAAGGCCUUCGGGUCGUAAAGCUCUGUCAAGUGGGAAAAAAAUUCUUUGAUGAACAGUCAAAGGACUUGAUGGUACCACUGGAGGAAGCACCGGCUAACACCGUGCCAGCAGCCGCGGUAAUACGGAGGGUGCAAGCGUUGUUCGGAAUUACUGGGCGUAAAGAGCGUGUAGGCGGUUUGACAAGUCAGAUGUGAAAGCCCCGGGCUCAACCCGGGAAGUGCAUUUGAAACUGUUUCGCUAGAGUAUGGGAGAGGGGAUUGGAAUUCCUGGUGUAGAGGUGAAAUUCGUAGAUAUCAGGAGGAACACCCGUGGCGAAGGCGAUUCUCUGGACCAAUACUGACGCUGAGACGCGAAAGCGUGGGGAGCAAACAGGAUUAGAUACCCUAGUAGUC